rnacentral:lncRNA from 10 species
GAGAGAUAAUUAGAAAGAAAGAAAAAAAAUCCAAAGAAUGUGAAUAAAAGAACAUGAUACAACAAGAGGACAGUUAAAGGCAAAAACAAAACAAGGACAAACAAACAAAAAACCCAUUUGGAUUCACAAAUUCUGGUUUUUACUCUGACAUGCAAAGAACUUGCAGUACUUGCUGUCAACCUCACAACAAGAAAAAACUGAACAAACUGAAAAUCAACAACACUUCUUAGAAUAACCAGAGAAAUGAGGUCACAGGGCAAAUCACCACCUCAAAAGCUGGGGACAGACAUGAAUACAGAGAGCCACAGUUUACAAGGUACAAAAGUUACUGCUGCAGCCAGCAGCUGGCAGGCACAAAUUGCUAGAGGCUGAGUGUGGACUUGCCUAAGAGUUAGAGACCACUGGGGGCCCACUCCUUUUUUUUUUUUUUUUUUUUUU